AGUGUGCAGGGGGAAGAGAAGAUGGAUUGUUCCAUCAGACAAGCAGAAAUGCUUGUGCUGAUACAGAUAUCUGCUGAGUGCUGCACU